UUUCGUGUAGUGGCAUUUUGGCGUCCACCUGAUUUCGAUAACUGUUGUCCAUCAUCUACUAUAGACGAAAAUAUUCUUUUGGAUGAUACGGCAUCAGAUGUAGGUGAUACCAGUGAUGGAGUCUCGGCAUCCGACGCAGAAGAUCAAGAAGAAACAACUGCAAAACAAACACGUGGUUCUGGACUCCUUCCCGGAAUGAAGGAAGCUAUAAAACAGUGCAUGAAACAUUGGUUGCUGAAGCGCAUAAAAAAACACUUAAAAAAUAGUCUGUUUUAUUGCAGUUGCCUAUUAACACAGUGCGAUCUGUAAUUAAUCGCAAAGAAAAAUCUCGAAAAUUAAGGGAAACAUUUUCGAAAAUAAUCAACGACGUCAGUUUUCAAAAUUUAUUAUUCCUAUUGCACAAAUCUUGUACCCACCGUAACAUGGCUGUAUAAAGCACUGUAUAAAGAUGGAAUUGACAUUCCUUAUAAGAUCACUCACUUUAGAUCAUUUCUCUCUAUAUUUGGUUUUAUAUUUCGACGGUUGAACAAACGUCAGUAUAUCCCUAAUCGGUUAAUUCUUGAUGUUUUUAUAACAAUCACCACUCCUGAAUGUUGAAGAUUGUAGCCGACACCAUUAAACGAUUGCACUUUUUGCGGCAAAGAUUCCUGAUAAAUUUUUGUAACGCCGACAGGAAUAUUCGGUCAAUGAGAGUGAAUCUGUUUUUAAUGCUAUAUUUAAUUUAAUACAUUAACAACCUCAUGCAUGGACAAGGGAAGACAAAAACUAAUACAAUAUUCGCAUUGAUGUCCCUAAUACCCGCUUAACAUUAUUAUUAUUAUUAUUAUUAUAUUGUUACGAAAUAAACUCAUACGCCGCCUCGGUACGA